GGAAUAUUCGGCAAUGGAGGCAACUCUGACCGAGCAACACCGCGUGAAUGAUGAAGGUCUUCGGAUUGUAAAGUUCUGUGAUGGGGGACGAAGAAAGUGACGGUACCCCAAGAGCAAGCCACGGCUAACUACGUGCCAGCAGCCGCGGUAAUACGUAGGUGGCAAGCGUUGUCCGGAAUGACUGGGCGUAAAGGGUACGUAGGUGGCUAUUCAAGUUAGUAGUGAAAUCCCGGGGCUUAACUCCGGUGCUACUGCUAAGACUGUUUAGCUUGAGUGCAGGAGGGGUAAGUGGAAUUCCUAGUGUAGCGGUGGAAUGCGUAGAUAUUAGGAGGAACACCAGUGGCGAAGGCGACUUACUGGACUGUAACUGACACUGAAGUACGAAAGCGUGGGGAGCAAACA
rnacentral:rRNA from 1 species